UUUGAAAUUACCAAAUGGUAGACACAGCCUAAAACAGUCCUGCUUGAACCCCAAAUUCCCUCAGAAUCAAUCGACAAUGCCCCCCAAAACGUUGAAUGAUCAGAAACCAAACUAAAAUGUAGGGCAAUAACUUGAAGAUAAAAUUCACACAGAAUUCCAAUCAAACAAUAUCUUUUCUUUGGUUAUCUGCAGUUUUGGAUUAUUUUUUGUUUAUUUUCUGUUGAAGAAUGCUAAGAUCUAAGGGGAUUUCAGAUCUGAAUUUCAGAUCUG
rnacentral:lncRNA from 1 species